GCCUUUCACGUGGGCAAUCUGCCCUCCGAUGGGGAAUAACCCCGCGAAAGCGGGGCUAAUUCCGCAUAACAUUCCCGGAACUCCGGUUCGGGGAUUCAAAGCAGCGGUGCGUCGGAGGAGGAGCCCGCGCCCGAUUAGCUAGUUGGUGAGGUAACGGCUCACCAAGGGUAUGAUCGGUAGCUGGUCUGAGAGGAUGGCCAGCCACACUGGAACUGAGACACGGUCCAGACUCCUACGGGAGGCAGCAGUGGGGAAUCUUGCGCAAUGGGCGAAAGCCUGACGCAGCGACGCCGCGUGGGGGAUGAAGCUUUUCGGAGUGUAAACCCCUUUCGACCGGGACGAAUGCCCGCAAGGGAGUGACGGUACCGGUAGAAGAAGCCCCGGCUAACUACGUGCCAGCAGCCGCGGUAAGACGUAGGGGGCCAGCGUUGUUCGGAAUUACUGGGUGUAAAGGGUUCGUAUGCGGUGUGGCAAGUCAGGAGUGAAAUUUCUGGGCUUAGCUCAAAGGCUGCUUCCGAAACUGCUGUGCUCGAGUGUGGGAGAGGCGCGUGGAAUUGCAGGUGUAACAGUUGAAAUGC
rnacentral:rRNA from 1 species